UACGUAGGGUGCAAGCGUUAUCCAGAUUUAUUGGGCGUAAAGGGCUCGUAGGCGGUUCGUCGCGUCCGGUGUGAAAGUCCAUCGCUUAACGGUGGAUCCGCGCCGGGUACGGGCGGGCUUGAGUGCGGUAGGGGAGACUGGAAUUCCCGGUGUAACGGUGGAAUGUGUAGAUAUCGGGAAGAACACCAAUGGCGAAGGCAGGUCUCUGGGCCGUUACUGACGCUGAGGAGCGAAAGCGUGGGGAGCGAACAGG
rnacentral:rRNA from 1 species